rnacentral:rRNA from 1 species
CAAUAGCGUAUAUUAAAGUUGUUGCAGUUAAAAAGCUCGUAGUUGGAUUUCUGGUUGAAGCGACCGGUCGGGCGUUGAUUCGUCUGCACUGGAGUCGGUUUUGGCCAUCCUCUAGGAAAGUGCGUCUGGUAUUAAGUUAUCGGGCGUAUGAUCCUGGUCUUUUACUGUGAAAAAAUUAGAGUGUUUAAAGCAGGCCUUCGCCUUGAAUACAUUAGCAUGGAAUAAUAAGAUAGGACUUUGGUCUAUUUUGUUGGUUUGCAGACCGAAGUAAUGAUUAAUAGGGAUAGUUGGGGGUAUUUAUAUUCCGACGUCAGAGGUGAAAUUCUUAGAUUUUCGGAAGAUAAACUUAUGCGAAAGCAUUUACCAAGGAUGUUUUCAUUAA